ensembl:lncRNA
GCACAUGAUGGACAUUCAGUAAUUGCUAGAUUGCAAGUGAAUUGAUACAUUAGCCUAUCUUCAGUUCAGUACUUGGCACCAUAAAUAGUCAUUACUAUUAUUUUCAUUUUUACCAUUGUCACAUUUUGAGAUAAAAUUUCUGAAUCCCCUAGUAAUCAUCUGCUUUAAAUAAAAUGCCAAGGAAAAAAUGUCCCCAAGAUUCUUUUCUUAUUUAUUCCAACUUAUUAAAAAACAGCUCCAAUGGAACUGUCUUCUCUUGUAACAGAAACAGUUUUUAAUCUAGCAAGCUUUGGUUUGAUGGAAAAUUUUCCAGCUUCAACCACUUCUGCAAUUACAGUGCCCUAGAUAUUUGGGAUUUGACUUGUAUCUUCCUGGCACAAAAAUUUGCCGGCAGUCCAUUGCAAGACAAGCGUCCACUAAUUUACUCUUUGUUUCCUUCCCUCUCUUUUCCUUUCUCCUUCUCUUCCUCCCUCCCUGCCUUCCUUCCUUUAUUCUUUCUUUUGUUAUUUCCUCCUCUUCUGCCUUCCUGCCUUUAGCUGAUUCCCAACCAGGCCCUGUUCUAAGUCCUAAAGAUAGAAAGGAACACUGAAAAAAAUCUACUCUAGUGGAACUUGCAUUCAAGUAUGGAAGGCUGGCAAUAAAUAAACAAAUAAACAAGGGUUUUAUGAAGCUCUAUGAGUGAAGAUUCUUCCAGACAGAGGACCAGGACUGCAAAUGCCCUGAGACAGCAGUGUGCUUGGCAUGUUCAUGGUGAGUAAGGAUGUCAGGUUAGUAAAGUGGGGAGGUUUUUGCAAAUGACAUUUGAAGAUUAGCCAGCCGUCAGACCUCAUAGAGCCCCUAUAUUUUACUCUAAAUAUACACACACAAAAAAGACUGGCUAGUUUUGACAGGGUAAUGGCUUAAUAUGAUUUACAUUCUGACAGGAAUACUAUGGUUGCUGUGUGAGCUACAGACUAUAGGGGGUUGAAAGUAGAAGCAGGAAAACCAGGCAGGAGGCUCCUGUAGUCAUCCAGGUGUGAGAUGAUGAUGGUUUGAGACAUAGUGUAAUUGUAGAGAUAGUGAGCCUGGGAUUAUAUUUUCAAGGUAAUGUUAACAGAGUUUGCUGGUGGUUUAAUUAUGGGGUGUAAGAGAAGGAGAAAUCAACAGUGAUUCUACAGUUUGUUUUCUGAGCAACAUGAUAAAUAGUAAUGUUAUUUAUUUAGAAGGGAAAGAGGAAGUUCAGAUUGAAAAUCAAGAGUUCAGUGUUGCCAUGUUAAGGUUGAGAUGUAUCAAAGAUUGAGUUUCAUAUGAAUCUAGUUUUCAGGAGAAAGAUGGAGAUGCAGCUAUAAACAUGAGCCAUCUGCACAGAGAUGAUGGUGUUAACAUCCAUGGGAUUGAAUAAAGUUACAACGGGUCUAAGUAAAGUUGGAAACAGGGCCAAAAUAUUGAUUUUGACGUGCUCCUGAAUUGGGAAAAAAAAUGAUUCCGAAUAAAAGAGACUAAGUAUGAUAAACUCUAGCUGCAUCCAUGUUGCUACAAAGGCAUUAUUUUGUUCUUUUUAUGGCUGAGUAAUAUUCCAGUCUCCUGGGAUAGACCAUGAUGGAAAAUAAUAUUUUAAAAAUAUUAGUCUUUGCAUUUCACAUCACUUUCACAUUGCCUGAUCCUCUUUGAUCUCUAAGAUACCAGCUUAAAUGUCACACCACAAAGAGGUACCUGUCACUCAAGCACUCAAUUACAGGAUUUUUUUUUUCAUAGCACUUAAUCAUUAGCUUAAGUUUAAUAUUUAUACACACAUACACACACAUACACACAUACAUAUCCAUACAAAUAUAUGACUGAGCCUGAGCCACUCUACUGUACAGCAGAAAUUGGUACAACAUUGUAAAUCAACAAUACUUUAAUUUAAAAAAAAAUAAAAACUAAGACAAGGAGACAAGGAGUCAUUGUGACUGGGGAAAAACCGCUACUUGGUAAAGAAAUAAAUGAGGAAGACAAAUGCAUGCAGAGGAGAGGCCCCUUGAUGGUUUUCUUUCUCACUAGGUUCUAUCUGCAGUUCUAUCCUUCUCACCACACAAUUACAAUGGCUAAUUGACCUUAUGGCAGAUGCCGUGUUCAUUACCAAAAUGAGCUCUUGACAGAGGUCCAAUCAUCUGACCUUUUUAUCUGGUAGUUUACCCUGGUUAUCGGUUCUCUUAGUUGAGGAUAAUAUUUAUUUAUUUUGUAACUAAUCCUUUGUUAAUCCACUGAGAUGAUACAUUCCAAAACUCCUUGAACUUUAUAAAGUUCUCUAUUAAUGCCAGGACUCUCUGCACUUACUUAUAAUAGAAGCCAUUGGCAGUGAGGAAAGACAACAGAAAGGAAAUGAUAAAGGUUGGUUUGUUUUCUUUUUGAUUUAAAAUGAAUCACUGAGCGUAUUUAUUUCUGUUCCUUUUCUUUAACAUGAGUUUUCAACUUUGCUACUCAUAAGUUUAAGUCUUAUAAAGUGUUUCCUGCUGAAAUGCCAUGCUGACUGGAAUUCAGCAGCAAAUAAAUAUUGCUGUCCUCACUAAUUUGAAACAGUGUGAGUUUUAAACCUCUAGCUGCGGGAGAUUUAUUAAGAUUACAGUUUUCAUCACUAUCCCUUCAGUCCAUCAAGAUAGGUCAAAGCCGUAUAAUUUUUUAAAACCAACAGCAAUUUCCAUUCUUUGUAGAUUCUGCUUUCUGAGCCAGCAGUAUUGUUAGGAGCACAAGUUUGAAGUAAAUGAAGCACAUAUCCACAUGUACUUAAAAAUAUUUUUACCGCACCCCUGUUUGGGCAUGGAAUAAAAAUUGUUGACCAUUUCAUUUAAUCAUAAUUCUUUAAACACAAAAUAGUUCCUGGUAAAAAGGAAUACUUACUACAUAUCAAAUUAUUAGUAUUCUUUCUUUUUUAAAUAGUCCUUUAUAUUAGUUAAAUUAAAAUGAAAAUAUGCAAUCCUGUUAUUUAUUCUGAAAUGCUGAAUAUUGGUAAGGCAUUUUUAAACUAUUGUAAUAUUCUAAGUAUCCUUUCAAUGAAUUGCCCAAUUACUGCUUUUUAUUGAUUUAGAGUAAUUGGUCUCUGGUAAAUGAUUAAAUGGUCAAUAACCCUAAUCAACUUGCUCUGAGUUUAUUAAUAAUCAAGUAAAAUGUAUCUCAUAAAUACAUUAAUAUUUAUAAUGGAGAAUUCCUAGUAAUACUUUGAGAAAAUUCUGGAAUGUAUCAAGAUAUACAACUUUUUCAACAAUAGCAGGCACUUGAAGUGACCCUGUUUUGUUGGAUAGAUUUAAAUCCCACAAGUGAAUAUUACUACCUUGCUUAAAGGACGAGGAAGAUCAUGAAAUUUUGAGAACAAACUGGAUCAUUAUAUAACAAAUGCAAUUUAAAAGGCAUUGAUUAAUUUUUUCUGAGAUUCUAUGGUGAAUACAGUUUUAAGACAAAAAAAAUCAAACAAGACCUAAUAUGCACAAAUUUUCAGUUAAUAUUUAUUUCAUAAGUAAAUAUAUCUAUCAUAGAAAUCUAAAUAUUCAGAUUACACUUAUUUAUUUUUAAUGAUGUACCCCUAUUUAUGCAUGGGAAUGAAGGCUGGAUUUUAAGAAAAUUGCUUAAUGUACUUUGUGAAAGAUAUUUUAAUUGUAGUAAAUAAAGCUUUAGAAAAAGUUGUUUGUUUAUCAAAUUUACCUUUUACCCAUGUAUUUCUUCUCUAGGGAAAUUCAUUUUUUAUUUUAAUUUCUGAGAUAGCUUAGGAAAGAAGAAAGAGCACCAAACCAUUUUAUGACUUUUGAUCCUAAACAAAUCACUAAACAUUUUUAUGACUCCUUGUGACCCCUGGAAAGCAAUUGCAAUGUUUCAAAAUCCACGUGAUCAAACUCUUCCCACUCAUGACUCUUUCGCUUACUUUCAUAAAUUUUUCCAUAAAUUAGAAAUAUAAAGAGUAACACAGUUUUUUCUAGUAAUUGACAAAGCAGAAAACCUAGCAUUGCCUCCUUGAGCUGCUCUAUACUUCCUGGACCUGUUCAAAACCUCCAGGUGUUUACUUUGUCAGUUACUCCUGAGGCCAGGCAGACAAGGAAGCAGGGUUUGCACACGUAUCCAUUGUUUCUGUCUCAGAGAGUCAGUGUUGAAGACUAAAAGUGCCUCUUUUGCACAUUAUCCACCCUUUGGUGAUGCCAGGUCUAGAGUCUAGAAUGCUCUUCAUCCCCUCUGAGCCACAUACACAGGUUCUUCUUAAUCUCUCCAUCUUUCUCUUCCUGGCUGAUUUCUCAUUUGUAUUUUUCCUCAAACUGCACCAUCUUGACCUGAUGGAUGAAUUCAGUGUCCCACAGCCUCAGCUAAGCUAAACGUCAGCACUAAUCUUCUUCACCCUUACCCUUAAGCCAUUGUGUUGAGUCUGGGUUACUGGUUUCGUUUUCUUCUUCACUCAACAUGUUUUAUUUCAGAAUACUCUCACUGAGUCUUGGUUUGGUGUAUUCUGCUUUUCUCCAACUUUGCAUCCUGGAAAGCAAGAGGUGGUGUCUUCUAUUUUAGGAGUUCCUGAGGUUUAAGGCAAUUAAAGUCUCUCUAAGGUAAGGAUCUCAGGCAACCUUAACAAAAUGUCCCCAAACCAAACUUGUGUCUAUGCUAUUAUUAGUGAAUAUUAUCAGCAAUAGAAGAUUUAUUUCAAAGAACUCUUAGUCAUCACCAUGGGCAUAGAAUAUAACCUCACAAAGGGAUUUUAAGUACACCCUUAGGUAAGUAUUUAAUUUGAAUCUUUUGCCUCACAGGUUAUCAUGAACAUCACUUACAUCAAAACAUAGUACAUUCUGGGAGUUCCCGUCGUGGCGCAGUGGUUAACGAAUCCGACUAGGAACCAUGAGGUUGCGGGUUCGGUCCCUGCCCUUGCUCAGUGGGUUAACGAUCCGGCGUUGCCAUGAGCUGUCGUGUAGGUUGCAGACGCGGCUCAGAUCCUGCGUUGCUGUGGCUCUGGUGUAGGCCGGUGGCUACAGCUCCGAUUGGACCCCUAACCUGGGAACCUCCAUAUGCUGCGGGAGCGGCCCAAGAAAUAGCAAAAA